GAUCUCAGAUCAGGUGAGGUUA
rnacentral:rRNA from 14 species